rnacentral:rRNA from 1 species
GUGUCAGCCGCCGCGGUAAAACGUAGGAGACAAACGUUAUCCGGAGUUACUGGGCGUAAAGGGCGUGUAGGUGGUUGCGUAAGUCUGGCGUGAAAUAUCUCGGCUUAACCGAGGCAGGUCGUCGGAUACUGCGUAACUGGAGGACGGUAGAGGCGUGUGGAAUUCCGGGUGUAGUGGUGAAAUGCGUAGAGAUCCGGAGGAACACCAGUGGCGAAGGCGACACGCUGGGCCGUACCUGACACUGAUGCGCGACAGCAUGGGGAGCAAACAGGAUUAGAUACCCUGGUAGUCC